CUGGACCCGACGGUGAAGCCUCGUUCCCCACAAAAUAAGCCCGCGCACACCCUGCUGCCUCCCAAAAUUCUGUUCGUCCCGCCAGCGCCUCCAAGGAGGUCCCGCUCCGGCCGCCGGCCCUGCUUGCGGCGGCCACCGUCCCGUGCAGAGGUGUCGCCCCCGCCCCGAGCACCUGACGCACCGCCAUCCCUGAGCUCCCGCGCCGACCCCUGCCGCACGCGCCGCCGUCCCCGAGUCCCGGCGCCUCCCUCGACGCCAGCGCCGCCCCCGCGAGGCUCUGCCGUGCCGCCGUUGCGAGGAGCUGUCCUGCCGCCGUGGCGAGGAGGUCCGGCCUCCUACUCGCUCCUCCGCUCCUUGACGUGCCUGCAUCUAUCAAGGGCGAUUUUCAUUAUUCAAGUCUUAUUGUGGGAAACAAAGCAGAGAUUAAUGCGGAGAAGGAUGGAGGGGCUUGUGGUAAUGGUGAGGGUGGAGAAGGGGAUGGAAGCCCUUCUGCAUACUUAAACCUCAAUGGCAAUGAUGAGGUGGCAGCUCAGAAUGAGGAAGAGACCAAGGUGUUAGUUGCCUGUAGGCCCAAACAUGGUCGGAACAAGAUGCCCAAGGGUCGAUCUCUUAUUACCAAGCUCGAUGAAUUAGGUUGCUCCUGUCAAGGUGAUGGAGCUAAGUACACAUAAUCUAGGUGUAAUGCAUAGACCGUAUCGUUCUCAUCAAAGAUUACAAUAUAUUUGGUGUAUGGACUUCGUUCUUAUCAAACAUUACAAUAUAUUUGAUGUGUGGACUCUUGGUUUUAAUCUCGAUGUAUUGACUCUUCGUUUUAAUUUUGAUGUAUGGACUCUUUUGUUUAAUCAUGAUGUAUGGACUUCGUUUAAUCUUGAUGUACAAGCUGUUUAGUUGAAUUCUACUGCUUUAA